GCGCUCGUGGUAUAUCGGUAGUAUGCAAGCUUCCCAAGCUUGAGAGCCGGGUUCAAUUCCCGGCGGGCGCA
rnacentral:tRNA from 1 species